ensembl:lncRNA
CACCGGCCGCCCCCGCGGGAUAGGGCCCCGGCCUGGGGUGAGGUCCGCAUCCUCGAGGUCCCCGCCCACCCCCCUGGCACUUACUACCUUUUAAGCACGUCGCGCUGCGGGGCCGUUACCUCGGUGAGCUCGCGACGUCUGCUUGCCUGCGACUCAGAGUGCGAUCUAGGGGCAGCGCCUGUCUCCCCUCUCCCCGUGGGGGGUGGGGAAUGUCUCCGGUCCCCCGUCGUGGUCGCCGAAGAACGGCUUUACUGCAAGGACCGCACCACCCAUCAGGGGGUUCACUGAAUGGACUCGGUUUGAGCCUGGAGAAACGUCUAUACACAAGGAGUCUCGGGUGAUCACGUGCUGUGCGAAGGGCCUGGAGGAAGUUUGUUAGCUCCAGGAAUGCUGAAGUGGCAAGUUCCUGUCAAAGAACCCUUUUUGUGACGUGAAUCAUCACCUCCUCCCGUAUUUGGUGUGUUCGUACAGGUUUCUGCACAGAAGGCCUGAAACCAGGUGCCUUCCGGAGUUGGUAAAAACAGACGCGCCGUGUUUGAGCGAGUGACUAAGGGACUGCAGUCUGGGCCCCUCAGGUCCGGGAGGCUCCCGGGUGCUUGGAAAGUGCCUCUUAUAGGCUCUAGUUUUAACGGCUUCCAGACCCGCUGUAUGUGUUCCUAUGCUGAUGUGCUCAGCUGUGUCCGAUUCUUUGCCGCCCUUUGGACUGCAGCCUGCCAGGCUCCUCUCUCCAUGGGGUUUUUCAGGAAUACUGGAGUGGGUGGCCAUUUCCUCUUCCAGGGGAUCUUCCUGACCCAGGGAUGGAACGUGCAUCCCCUGUGUCUCCUGUACUGGAGGAGGGUUCUUGACUUGCUGAGCCUUUGGGGGCCUAUAGGGUCUGAUUUUAAUGGAUUUCAGACCCACUGCCUUUGCCUGAAACAUGGGCUGUUACUUGCAGUGGAGUUUUUCAACUGCUUUUGCGUCACUGCCCCACUGGGCACCAUCUUCAGCUUGGUGACGUGUCACCCACCUUCUCCAGAAGAAGAUAUUGAAGCACAAAUGAGGUGGAUGCCCACCCGGAGAACCAGCCCCGAACUCCGUGACAAGGGAGUAUUCUGCAAGCGUUGGUGGGGGGAGAUGGAGAGAGGAUUCAUGAUUUGAGGGAACUUUGGGGUGAAUCCUCUCUGUCCACGUGUCCUGCAUGAUCAGAUUAUAUAUAUGAAGUUUGCCAUAUGUAAGUUUUUUUUAAAAAAGCAAUGACAUUUCGUGAAUCCCUUUUCUGUAUGGUCACAUGGCCUAGAAGUGCCCUUUUGCGGUUAGCUGUCAGACGCCAGGUCUCUGUGGUGACUCCGGUAGAGCCAGGGUCAGCACCUGGGUCCAGAUGACCCCCUCUGGUCUGGAGUUUUCUCCCCGGAGCUGUGAGUGGGCCCUGAAAGCUCUGUCUGAUCCUGUUUGUCAUCAGACGUCCCAAACCACGUGUGUCCAG